rnacentral:rRNA from 1 species
AUUGAACGCUGGCGGCAUGCCUUACACAUGCAAGUCGAACGGUAACGGGCCUUCGGGUGCCGACGAGUGGCGGACGGGUGCGUAAUACAUCGGAACGUGCCCGAUCGUGGGGGAUAACGAGGCGAAAGCUUUGCUAAUACCGCAUACGAUCUACGGAUGAAAGCCGGGGACCGCAAGGCCUUGCGCGGACGGAGCGGCCGAUUGCAGAUUAGGUAGUUGGUGGGAUAAAAGCUUACCAAGCCGACGAUCUGUAGCUGGUCUGAGAGGAUGAUCAGCCACACUGGGACUGAGACACGGCCCAGACUCCUACGGGGGGCAGCAGUGGGGAAUUUUGGACAAUGGGCGCAAGCCUGAUCCAGCCAUGCCGCGUGCAGGAUGAAGGCCUUCGGGUUGUAAAAUGCUUUUGUACGGAAAGAAAAGCCUUCUUUUAAUACAGGAGGGUCAUGACGGUACCGUAAGAAUAAGCACCGGCUAACUACGUG